UGCUACCUACGUAUCUGUUUCAGAGACUC
rnacentral:piRNA from 1 species